GAUGAACGCUGGCGGCGUGCCUAAUACAUGCAAGUCGAGCGAACAGACGAGGAGCUUGCUCCUCUGACGUUAGCGGCGGACGGGUGAGUAACACGUGGAUAACCUACCUAUAAGACUGGGAUAACUUCGGGAAACCGGAGCUAAUACCGGAUAAUAUAUUGAACCGCAUGGUUCAAUAGUGAAAGACGGUUUUGCUGUCACUUAUAGAUGGAUCCGCGCCGCAUUAGCUAGUUGUUAAGGUAACGGCUUACCAAGGCGACGAUGCGUAGCCGACCUGAGAGAGUGGUCGGCCACACUGGAGCUGAAACACGGUCCAGACUCCUACGGGACGCAGCAGUAGGGAAUCUUCCGCAAUGGGCGGAAGCUUGGCGGAGCAGCGCCACGUCAGUGAUGAAGAUCUUCGGAUCGGGAAACUCUGUUAUUAGGGGAGAACAGCUGUGUACGUAGCUAUGCACGUCUUGACGGUACCUAGUCAGGAAGCCACGGCUAACUACGUG
rnacentral:rRNA from 1 species